rnacentral:rRNA from 1 species
AUGUGUUUCACUAAGGUCUUCGAAAUAAUAUUCGAUCUUCCGAAAAUCCUUAGCAGCUUAUUGCUCUUGAAAUUCUUGCUUGCUUGCAUUAUGUUUAAUCCCAUAAGUAUAGUAAUCUUAUUGGCAGCCUUUGUCACUAUCAUUUUGAGUCCAUUGAUUCAAAAUAUUGCGAAUGCUCGCAAUCCUCAAUCAGAUCCUAGAAUUCAUCCUUUCGGCUCAGACGUCAUUUUAAACAUGAGCUGGAUCUCGACCAAUCAAAUUGUCAUCAAUUUUACCCCUAAGCUUACUCAACCUAUCCAUCCUUAA